rnacentral:rRNA from 1 species
CUACGGGGGGCUGCAGUCAGGAAUACUUUACAAUGCACGCAAGUGUGAUAAGGGGAUUCCAAGUGCUUUGCCUUUGGUAAAGCUUUUGUUGAGUGUAAGUACCUCAACGAAUAAGUGGUGGGUAAUACCGGUGCCAGCCGCCGCGGUAAUACCGGAGCCACGAGUGGUGAUCAUAUUUAUUGGGUCUAAAGCGUCCGUAGCCGGUUUAGUAAGUUUCUUGUGAAAUUGUUAAGCUCAACUUAACAACGGGCAAGAAAUACUACCAGACUUGAGACCGGGAGAGGAUAGAGGUAUUUCAGGGGGAGCGGUAAAAUGUUAUAAUCCCUGAAGGACCACCGAUGGCGAAGGCAUCUAUCCAGCACGGGUCUGACGGUGAGGGACGAAGGCUAGGAGAACGAUAAGGAUUAGAUACCCCAGUAGUC